UGCUCCCACAAUGUGGUUGAACAGGGCACCAGUGCCUGCAUGAGGACUGCAACUCCCAAAUUCCGAGGCAGGGACCACACGUCUGUGGGGAAACCUGGUACUGCACAAGUACAGAAUGUGGGGUGCUAGAUGGUGAAGAUUUGCAGACUGAAAUCUCAA